rnacentral:tRNA from 1 species
GGUGGUAGCUCAGUGGUAGAGUGCUUGCCUAGCAUGCAUGAGGCACUGGGUUCGAUCCUAGCACCA